GCCGGUUCAGGAUCGCGGCAUGCCCUAUAAGUUGCGGCGGCGAGAUCGAUCAACGGGUGCUCGUGCCCUGAUGGUGCGUCACCGACCAUGAUGCUCACAGAGGCGGGAGAGCACCUCGCGGCGCUGCGGAGGCACGACGUUGGGUGCCACAUCCGGACCCUUGGCGCCGUCGACUUAACCCUCGGCGGCGUCGGGCGGUUUAUUUCUUUUUUUUUUCUGCGAUCGGCGGCGGCGGGUGGCGGGCGAUGGUCGGACAGCGCGCUGUGAGGACGGGCGGCGCAGCACCGGGGCGGGCAGCGGCGGUCGUGCUCGCGGCGGGCGACGGAGCCGCACGCGUGGUGGAGAUUUUCUGCGAUACGGAGUUUUCACGGAGAGUAGAGAUGACGCGAGGCUGAGGGUGUGUAAGGUCGUGAUCAUACUUCUAAUCUGGGCCGUCUAAUCUAUAGGAUAUGUGCUGUGAGUCGUUGAUCUUGUAGGUGGGAUUUGCCUGGAGAAGAUUUCAAUUAUAGUAGAGAUUUGUGAAAAAUGUGAGAAACGGAGGUAGGAGUGUGUGUGGUUUACUGUCCUGCUGGGCUGUGGGUUGUGGCCAGCCAGCCGAGGCUGGGCCUGGGCCCAGAUCUGACUGUGGUUUCUGGUUUGAGUGGCAAUUUUUACAAGAAAAAGUUGUAAUAAAAGUCAAAAGAUUCUUCCCUCCAUUUUGCGUGCGUGGUGACCCACCAUAGCGCUGCCCAACUUCCGCUCUCCAUCGUUGAGACACAAAGAGGCUAACUGAGAUCACAACAAAGUGAGAAAGGAAGUCUUAAGCGCUUUGCUCCUUGGUUUUGUUCCAAAAAGAUCUUUACUUGGCCACCACUGAGUAAACAAUCAUGUUGAGUCCUUAUA
rnacentral:lncRNA from 1 species